CUCCGACUCUCAUGGAAAUGCUGGUGACCAUCAGAAAAGUGUGACCUUUUAUCCGACAAAGUAAAAGGUGUCAGAAAGGUCCAGGAAAAUCUUUACCAAAUUAUCUUUUAUAUCUUUUAAGAUGUGGAUAAUCAGUGAAAAACACAGGGAUGUUGCAAAGGACACAGGUUUUUCACUCAGGAUAUCUGUUUUCCUAGUAUUGGAAAUGAGGCAAGGAUAUUUG
rnacentral:lncRNA from 1 species